ACAAUGGUUAAAAAUCAAUCCUUUUUCUUUUCUCUUCUUCUGUACUCUAUCGAUAUUUUUUUUUCACAAGUCUGACUUCUCAGUUUCACAAUUCUCAUCUCUCACUAUCUCUUUCUCACACACACACGAUUCAUCAUCUCACACAUGCUUUCUCUGUAUCACUCUUCACACACACGAUCUGUCUACACUCACCGGUGCUUGUGAGCAGAGAUACCCAUGACGAAUCGUCGCAUUGACCGGUUUUGAUUCCGGUUAAAUUCUUUUUGAGAUUUUGUAACAGAGAAACAGAUCAUGUCUUUCCAGAUUCAGAGAUGGGGAGUGAUUAACAGAGAUAGAGAAGACAGAACGCAGGAGAUAGAUGAAAAGGGUGAAAAAUAUGGUGGUCGCGAGCAGAGUGGUGAUUGAGUGCGGUGGAGGACUAUGAAGAAGCCUUGACGGCGGUGUUAAGAAAAGGAGGUUUAGGUUUAGGUUUAGUUUAGGUUUAGGUUUAGGUUUAAGUUUGGUUUAGUUUUGGUUUAAUAUUUUUUUGUAAAGCAAUUUAGUUAUAAAUCAUUUUAUUUAAUAAAAAAAUUAAAUAUAUAAACGAGUUUAAAUUUUAGUUAUGUUUUUAACUUUUUAUUUUUUUUUAUUUUUUUUUAUUUUUAUUUUUUAUAAAAUAAAAAAUAACAAAAUUAUACGCUAUUAAAGAAUAUUUAAUUGCAGAUGGAAAAGCGCUAUCGUAGCGGAAGAAAAGAUAACAGUGCCAAAAACCGCUAUCUAAUGUCUCUAACCUAUUAUGACGGACGAUGAUACAGCGUUUCUAAAACCGACAUCAUAUCGUUAGAUAGCGUUUUUCGUCCGCUAAUAAAACCCAUUUUUCUUGUAGUGGGAAGACUAAAGAUUGGAGAGAUCAACGAAACAAAGGGAAAUUUGCAGUUGAGAUCAUCUAUCUGUAAGCAUUAAAACUGUAACAAGUUAUCAAAGGAUCUUUUUUUCUUAUUAUAAACUCAUACUUACUUUUAUCCCUUUUCUUU